CCUACGGGAGGCAGCAGUGGGGAAUAUUGCACAAUGGGGGAAACCCUGAUGCAGCGACGCCGCGUGAGUGAAGAAGUAUUUCGUUAUGUAAAGCUCUAUUAGCAGGGAAGAAAAUGACGGUACCUGAGUAAGAAGCCCCGGUUAACUACGUGCCAGCAGCCGCGGUAAUACGUAGGGGGCAAGCGUUAUCCGGAUUUACUGGGCGUAAAGGGAGCGUAGACGGCAGUGCAAGUCUGGAGUGAAAGGCGGGGGCUCAAGCCCCGGACUGCUUUGGAAACUGUACGGCUGGAGUGCAGGAGAGGUAAGUGGAAUUCCUAGUGUAGCGGUGAAAUGCGUAGAUAUAAGGAAGAACACCAGUGGCGAAGGCGGCUCUCUGGACUGUAACUGACGCUGAGGCACGAAAGCGUGGGGAGCAAACAGGAUUAGAUACCCGGGUAGUC
rnacentral:rRNA from 1 species